GAUGGAGAGGUUACCGUUUGAGUAACUCGUUGAACUCAGAUACUUUUCAGGUCAUUUUCACCUUUAAAAUUACCUUUUUGUAGAAUGUCAGUGCAUAAUAAUGACAAGCUUUAUGUGUUUUGGUGUUUGUGUGUUUGUGUAGCGCAUAUACGACGAAAAAAAUAGAGUCAGGUAUGUAUAGCAUACUGAAAUUUGGGGGGGGGGGAAAUGAGAGGAAGAAUGUAGAGAUAAGGUGGCCGAGAUCAAGACAAAGAAAACUGGAAUGUAAAAUGAUGAUUUGAGAAAGAGUAAUAAAGAAUACACGUAAAAUGUGUUAACUUGACAUGCGUCCUUUUAUCACAAAAAUGCGGCGUGAUACCUUUGAAAAAAGUAUGUUAAAUGAUACCUGAAAAGAAUACGGUCAGCGCAAAUUUUGGAUGCAUAUUUUUUUCCUUUGUAGUUGGUGUGUUGAAAAUUACGGUAUCCUGGUAAUUGAGAGGAUUCUUCAGUUAGCUUAGAGAUCUGAGACAGUUUACAUCACUUGAGUUGAAAUCAAAGACUUCUUCAAAGCCAAGUUUCAGUUUUUGUCAACUGCAGCCUCAUUUGUGUGUUCUGUAGAUGCUCAAGACUUCUGAAAGAACAGUAUUUUCUGGGGCUCAACUAGGAGAAAUAAGGACUUGUGUUGAAUGUAUGUAGUCUUGUUGCAGUGAUUGUGAGUUUUGUAUCUGCAACAGUCAGACGUAUCCACUAACCACUGAACGUUAGCUGGUGUGUCCGGAGACUGUUCAGACCCGAGCAAACUAACACUAAUUGUUUGUCUUGUCUUUGUUUAAAGUUUUAUGUAUCUGACAGUCAGACGUAUCCACUAACCACUCAUAGCGUUAGCUGGUGUGUCCGGAAGACUGUUCAGACCCUGAACAUACUAACCUUCAGUUUCCAUUCGAAACUGAACUGAAUUCAAAUUGAGAAAUACCAUAACUGAAUUCUAAAAGCAAGAUCACUAUCAAAGAGAACCACCAAAACCAAGAGAGUACCAUCAAAGAGAAUCAGAAUCAAGAAACAAUAAAAAAGAAUAAUCUAAAAAAGGAGACAAUCAAGUGUAAAAAAGUGAGACCUUGGAUUUGCAUACGAAACCUUGAACUGAAUUGAAAUUGAGAAAUACCAUAACUGAAUUCUAAAAGCAAGAGCACUAUCAAAGAGAACCACCAAAACCAAGAGAGUACCAUCAAAGAGAAUCAUAAUCAACAAACAAUAAAAAAGAAGAAUAAUCUAGAAAGGGAGACAAGUGUGAAAAGGGGAUAAAUAAUUUUGCAUCAAGAGUGACAGAGUCCACUUAAGAGUCUCGUUCAUUAGAAAACAGAAUUGAAAAAUUGUUGGGGAACUAACAGUUUUUAAUAAAGUAUUGCACUUUGAAGAGAUAUAUUGCACAAUAAAUACAAAGAUUCGUAUUUGAAAUCUCUGUAUUAUCUUCUUGUACAUCCAAAACAAAUCGAGGCAUUUGUUUGAAUAUAACUAUAGUUAGACUAAACUUUUAAUAUUGUGCAUUUUAUGCCUAUUGAGAUAAAGAGAUUGAAAAUGGCUUCCACUCAAUUCAGCUCUAUUGUUCAUGAGAUUCUAGGCAUGCUUUCCAGUUACACAUCGAUGAUAAACACAGAUGUUGAUGAAUGUUAUCAU